GAUGAACGCUGGCGGUAUGAUUAAGGCAUGCAAGUCGCGGGGGCGUAGCAAUACGUCACCGGCAAACGGGCGCGUAACACGUUGAUAACUUACCUCAAAGAUGCGAAUAACCUUCCGAAAGGAGGGCUAAUACGCAAUAAUAUGCUCCGACAUAAGUCGGAUCAUAAAAGCUACGGCGCUUUGAGAAAGGUCAGCGGACUAUCAGCUUGUUGGUGAGGUAACGGCUCACCAAGGCUAUGACGGUUACCGGGUGUGAGAGCACGGCCCGGCCCACUGGGACUGAGACACGGCCCAGACACCUACGGGUGGCUGCAGUCAUGAAUCUUCCUCAAUGCACGAAAGUGUGAAGGAGCAAUACCGCGUGUAGGACGAAGGUCUUCGGAUCGUAAACUACUUUUGCGUGGGACGAACAAAUGACGGUACCACGAGAAUAAGAGGUUGCUAACUCUGUGCCAGCAGCAGCGGUAAUACAGAGACCUCAAGCGUUAUCCGGAUUUAUUGGGCGUAAAGAGUGCGCAGGCUGUUUUGAAAGUCUGCUGUGAAAGACCGAUGCUCAACGUCGGAUCCGCAGCAGAAACUUCAAGACUUGUGGAUGGGAGAGGCAAACAGAAUUGCUGGUGUAGGGGUAAAAUCCGUUGAUAUCAGCAGGAAUACCAAAUGCGAAAGCAGUUUGCUGGAACAUUCCAGACGCUGGGGCACGAAAGCGUGGGGAGCAAAGAGGAUUAGAUACCCUCGUAGUCCACGCCGUAAACGAUGAAUACUAGACUUUGGGAGUAUCGACCCUCCCAGAGUCGUUGCAAAAAGUUAACACGUUAAGUAUUCCGCCUGGGAAGUACGGCCGCAAGGUUAAAACUCAAAGGAAUUGACGGGGACCUGCACAAGCGGUGGAUUAUGUGGUUUAAUUCGAUAGUACACGAGAAACCUUACCAGGGCUUGAAAUCCCUCGAAUCGCGGGUAAUGCUGCGAGUGCCGCAAGGAGCGAGGAGACAGGUGCUGCAUGGUUGUCGUCAGCUCGUGUCGUGAGAUGUACGGUUAAGUCCGGAAACGAGCGCAACCCCUGUGCUGUGUUAUAUAUGUCACAGCAGACUGCCAGUGUUAAACUGGAGGAAGGCGGGGAUGACGUCAAAUCAGCAUGGCCCUUACGUCCUGGGCUACACACAUAAUACAAUGGCCGGUACAACGGGCUGCUAAGUCGCAAGACGGAGCUAAUCCCUUAAAACCGGUCUCAGUUCAGAUUGUGGUCUGCAACCCGACCACAUGAAGUCGGAAUCGCUAGUAAACGCACAUCAUCAAGGUGCGUUGAAUACGUUCUCUGGUCUUGUACACACCGCCCGUCACGCCAAGGGAGCCGGUAAUGCCCGAAUAUCGAUGUAGGUCGAUAGAAGGUAGGACUGGUGACAGGGGUG
rnacentral:rRNA from 1 species